UGAUCUUCCCUGGGUAAGUCGGGGCCUAAGGCGAGGGCGAGAGCCGUAGUCGAUGGAUAACAGGUUGAAAUUCCUGUACUGCUUAUGGACAGAACUGUGGGGACGCAGAAGGAGAGCACGAGCCGGAAAUGGAAAAGCCGGUACAAGCGUAUAGCAGUCAUGCAGGCAAAACCGCAUGGAAAAUGUAAAGCGUUAUGUGGAUCGAACAUUAGUAGAGAAGCGUGUGAGCCAGCUGCCAAGAAAAGCCGCUAUUGUUUCAUAAGUACCCGUACCGUAAACCGACACAGGUGGAUGAGGAGAGAAUCCUAAGGCCGGCGGGAGAAGUGUUGUUAAGGAACUCGGCAAAAUGACUCCGUAACUUCGGGAGAAGGAGUGCCACAGAGAUGUGGCCGCAGAGAAGUGGCCCAAGCAACUGUUUAGCAAAAACACAGGUCUAUGCAAAACCGAAAGGUGAGGUAUAUGGGCUGACGCCUGCCCGGUGCUGGAAGGUUAAGAGGAGAGGUUAGAGCAAUCGAAGCUUUGAAUUUAAGCCCCAGUAAACGGCGGCCGUAACUAUAACGGUCCUAAGGUAGCGAAAUUCCUUGUCGGGUAAGUUCCGACCCGCACGAAAGGCGUAAUGAUUUGGGCACUGUCUCAACAACACACCCGGUGAAAUUGAAAUACCAGUGAAGAUGCUGGUUACCUGCGCCAGGACGGAAAGACCCCAUGGAGCUUUACUCCAGUUUGAUACUGGGAUUCGUACUGUCUGUACAGGAUAGGUGGGAGGCUAGGAAAUGGUGACGCCAGUUGCCAUGGAGCCAACCUUGGGAUACCUCCCUUACAGUACUGGGUUUCUAACCUGCAGCCGUAACCCGGCUGGGGGACAAUGUCUGACGGGGAGUUUGACUGGGGCGGUCGCCUCCGAAAGAGUAUCGGAGGCGCUCAAAGGUUCCCUCAGAACGGUUGGAAACCGUUCGAAGAGUGCAAAGGCAGAAGGGAGCUUGACUGCGACACCGACGGGUGGAGCAGAUACGAAAGUAGGACUUAGUGAUCCGGUGGUAUAAAGUGGGAUUGCCAUCGCUCAACGGAUAAAAGCUACCCUGGGAUAACAGGCUUAUCACUCCCAAGAGUUCACAUCGACGGAGUGGUUUGGCACCUCGAUGUCGGCUCAUCGCAUCCUGGAGCUGUAGCAGGUUCCAAGGGUUGGGCUGUUCGCCCAUUAAAGCGGUACGCGAGCUGGGUUCAGAACGUCGUGAGACAGUUCGGUCCCUAUCCGGCGUGGGCGUAGGAUAUUUGAGAGGAGCUGUCCUUAGUACGAGAGGACCGGGAUGGACAAACCUCUGGUGUAUCUGUUGUUUUACCAAAGGCAUGGCAGAGUAGCCAAGUUUGGCAGGGAUAAACGCUGAAGGCAUCUAAGCGUGAAGCCCCCCUCAAGAUAAGAUAUCCCAUCUUCGGAGUAAGACCCCUUGAAGACUACAAGGUUGAUAGGCUUCAGGUGUAAGUGUGGUAACGCACUCAGCUGAGAAGUACUAAUAGGUCGAGGACUUAUC
rnacentral:rRNA from 1 species